GUUUGCUGGUGAAGAAAGAUGAAUUCAUUCAACUUUAGCCUUUUUGAGUAACCUUUCUUUGGUUUACUGUAGAAAGUUAGUUUUCUUUUCAAACCGUCAAUAAAGAGCUGCUUUAGAUUUAAAAGUUAACAUACGAUACACCAAAAAGUAGUUUAAAAAAUCUCAAAAGUUUCUAAUGAAUCAUUAAAUUAUAUUAUGUAAUUUAGUUAUGUAAAUUAUCAAUACCUCAUUCAAAAAAAACAAGUUUGACAAGUCCAGCUCGUCAAAUCCCCUUUCUUAGCCACUUAGUCAAAGUCCGAGUAAUUAUUCAAAGAAGCUAACAGCCGAGGUGGAUUGGCGGAUUGUGAAUUGGGGACAACUUUGAUGCUACCUGCAUCUACAGUUCUGGAAAUAUCUGCUUUAGAAGACUGGUUCAUUAAACCUCUAAAUUUCCGUCCUUGUGGACGUUGGGUAGAAGAAAUUAUAGGUGUUUUAUAAGACUUUGCUCCCAUCGAGUUAUCGUUUGAUAGGUCACCAAUUUUUUCGGACUGUGAAUUACUCACUAGUUUCCUUACUCCAGGAAAGAUUGGUAAAACUUCCUCUAAGCUGUUGUUAUCAGAGGUAUGUCUUGUUGAAGAUUUUUUGAGAUAUACUCUAUCAACGACAUUGGGACCACCGCUAGAGAAUAUUUCGCUUAAUUCCUCUUCCAUUUGCUCUUCUUCUUCAUGAUUUAAUGAUUGUUCAGAAUAAAGGUAUUCGUCACCUAAAUCUGAAGAACCUACACCAGAGUCUUCCACUGUAGCAUCAAGCCAAGUAAGGUUGUCUUUGCUGCUGACAAGGCUGUCUUCAACAGUAGCUAAAAAUGCUUUCCUUUUAUCACCUUCUAAGACAUUAAGGUUUCCAUCUUCCAAUAAUUUUUGACGCCGCAACUCCUUGAGUUUUUCGCGCCGCAAAUUACUGUAAUCUUCAUCGUCACUAUCGUCCAAAGCUGCAAAUCCAUUCCUAUUCCUCUUUCGUAGAGCACCAGUAGUAACGUCUUUCAUUAGCUGUUUUACUAACUUUUCAUCACGAUCCAUUUCUUGAUCUUUAGCGAAUUGUGCCAUUGAAGCUACCUCGCCUUUUUGUAUAGUAGUCUCGUCAUCAAUCAUAUUUUGAACUUCUAAUUCAGCAUCGCUGUCAGACAACCCAUCAUCGGAAAGGCCACCAAUUCCAGCAUACUCAUCAUCAGAUUCAAUAGCUUGCUCCUCAAUAAGGUCUGAAGCCCAUGCAGAAUCAGCCUUACCAGUAUCCUUAUUGUAAAGCAUAGUUCGACUCAAAAAUGUUUUGGAGUCCCUUCUUGACUCUCGUCUUUCUUCCAAUAUUUCUUCAUCAUCUUGAUCCUUGUUACGUUGAACAGAAUCAAUUUGAGUAGGAAUAGUGGAAUCUAAUUGAGUAGGAACUAGACUAUCUACUUGACUCGGCUGUGUAGAUGAGGUGUUGGUUUUGUCGUCUCUGCUAGAAGACUCCCAACGAGGAGGAGGUUGACUGUAUGUAGCGUCGACGAUUGUGAGUUGAGAAGCGCUUGGUUGACUGUUUUGAACAUAAAGAGAUGUAGAUUGAUCAACUUCGUCAUUAAUGCCAAAAGAAUCGUGUAAUUCUUCUGUUUUCUGAGAAUCUUUGAUGCUCUCACUACUUAACCUAUCGAAGGAAUCUCGAAUCAUAUCUCCAUUACUUUCAUCAUCAGAUUCAGAAAUUUUCAUAUUCGAAGAACCAUGCGAAUCUCCAGUUAGAUCCUCUUCAUCAAAAACAACACGGCUGUUUUUUUGUCGCCUUUUGGGUUCUGCCUGUGUUGCCUCAAUAAUCACGUCGGAUAUUAUGACCUUGUUGGUGGUUUUGGCUUUAGUAGAUGGAGUAUUAGAAGAUGAUAUAACCUCCUCCUCGUCGUUGAGUUCACCUUCAUCACUUGCAUUUCCAGAUGCUUUCUCCAGUUGUCGUAUUUUCUCAGCAUCAUUUCUAGCGCGUUCAAGCGGAUCUUCUUCCUCUUCUUUCUCACCUUGAAUUGUCGGUUUAUAAAUUCCCUUUGCUUUCAAUUCCUCCUCAAGUUGGUUGCGUUGCAAUUUUGCCAUAACAGCUGCACGUUUCACAAGGUUUCGAUUAAAAGACUUAAUGUUAAAUUCAUUUUCGAACGGCUUUCCAUCUUUGCUGAGCUUGAUUUCAGCAAGUUGCUUUAAUUUACCCUUAAUUCCAUGCUCAUUCUCUUCAGAUAACUUUGAUUUCUCAAUAUUAUCAAGAGCUGUAGUCUUGGGCUUAACUUCAAUUUCCAGCUCAGAAUCAAUGUCAUCCUCAUUCAAUUUUGCAUUAAUUUCCUUUAAUAAAAAUUUUUUAUUAUCCUCUUUCUUAACUUGAGUUUGAUUUAAAGUCGUAAACAAGCUUGUUUGACCAAUAUCCAAUGCUUCAGGAGUGAUUUCCUUCAACUCUAAAGAGUCAUCCUCAACCGAAAGUUCUUUUAUGUCUUCACUGUUCACUAUUCCCGUGGACCGGUCAACGCUAGGUUUUGGCUCUUCCUUCUCAACAUUUGGAGGCUCAGUUGAGUUAGCUUCCUCUUCCGAAAUUGCUUUAUUUUCAAGCUGGUUAUCGUUUUUGAAUCCUAUUUUUUGAAAAAAUUCACGAAGAGUCACUUUCUUUUUAACAACCACUUCUGGUUUUAAAGCUGUUUCUCUAGUUAAGCGGGCAGUAUUACGAUGUAGUUCCAGUAAAGCCUUUUUAGAUGCAUUUCGAAUUUUUCUGUCGGAAGUAUACUUCUUUGAAAGUUCUGAUUCGUCUGCCAAAUCGCUAUCAUCUGCACUUUCAGAAUCUAAAUUAUCUGAUUUGCUAUGGCUUGUAGCAGAGUUUUGGAUCAGAUCUUCCUGUUCCUUCUUCAAGGCAUUUCGUUUCUUUUCAAUUAAUUGUUGUAAACGUGAAUUUCUAUCAGAAUCCUUAUUUUCAGAGGAUGGACUUCCCUUCGCAUUAUCACCUCCCUCUUGAGUUUCAAUUUGUUCAACCUCCUUUUUUUGGAGAGAAGACUUACCACCUUGUUGAUUUAAUAAUCGCCUAACACGUUCAUAAGCAGAGUCAAAAUUAGAUAAAAAAUUCGUAUCAGAAUGAAGAUAGAUUUCGCUGCUAUACGAGCGAUUUUUCUGAUUCUCUAAAUUGCCAACGGUACUCUCUUUAUCCAAAGAUGCUUCAGAUACAGCAUUGCUAGACAAUUGCAUAUCAACACUCGCCAACAUUUUCCUCACCCUAGUGCGAGGCGUAUCUAAAAUAUCCUCUUGAUCAUCAUUGAUGGAAGCCUCAUCAGAAGAAUCCAUUCUGUGCAACUCAUCAGCGUUCUCGUCUAAAGAUGCCAUAGAUUUAAGCACCACAAAGCUCUUAUUGAACGAGUAAUGGUAGUUGCUUUGCCGCGAUACAUCUCUUAGUCCUCCUUAGAAUUCAUCAACAAA
rnacentral:lncRNA from 1 species